rnacentral:SRP_RNA from 1 species
GCCGGGCAUGGUGGCGGGUGCCUGUAAUCCCAGGUACUCGGGAGGCUGAGGUAGGAGAAUCACUUGAACCUGGGAGGCCGAGGUUGCAGUGAGCUGAGAUCGUGCCACUGCACUCCAGCCUGGGUAAUAGAGUGAGACUCCAUCUUAA